rnacentral:sRNA from 1 species
AAGAGCCGGUCAAUGUCAUUACCCUCACGUUAGGAUAUGGGAAUACCAGCGUUGA